rnacentral:siRNA from 1 species
ACUGAUGAGAAGUGGCCAAUAGG